AAUGAUUUAUCUCAUUAAACCUUACCUGUCUGACUUUUAUUGCUGACUAGAAUGUUCUCUAGGGGAAAGAAUCCAGUUUUAAGACAGGUUUUCAUUCCUCUCUUAAGGUUUGGCUGCCACAUGCUUUUUUCUUAUGUGAAGCCAUGUAAAGAAUGAUUAGUUCUGUGAAUUUCAACACCUGUGUUGGAGAGUGUUUUAAAAUGAUCUGCUCUCUUGUAUUUCCUCUAAGCAAAUUUUGAAUUGAUAGUAUUAGGCAUGAUCAGAACUGUUUGGAGUCAGAUAAUUUUUAUCUUUGGUAUGGACAUCUCUGCAGAAAAGAAAGUCCAUAAUAAACCCCUGGAACAGGUAAUAACAGUAGAAGUGGAAGUUUUGGAUGAUUGUUUUACUUCCAGAAAUACAUGCUCACAGAAAACUGGGGACAUCUAAUGGAGAAAGCAAAGCUUCUUUUAUGUCUAAUGUGGGGUGCCAUUGUGUCCCAGCAUUUCCUUUAAUGGAAUGAGUAAUAUAAAAAUUCCCCAAAGUGCAAAAAUCAAUCUAGAAUUGAGUGGGAGAUUCAGAAACAAUGACCUUGAAAACUGCUUUUGAAAACAAUUGCUUCUGAGACCAUGUCAAAUUCUAGAGACCACUGUCUGCUUCCAAGUGUUUGGAUGGAAAGGGAUCCUGUAGUAGUGGGGAGGCAAUGGGCAACCAAUAAAGUAGUAGAAGCCUUCUCUCCUGGCUUGUCAGCUCCAUAUUGUUUAGAUAAAUUAAACUGAUGCUAGUUUCAUGAAAAAUAAAAGAAACAACCCAUCUUUUUGGUUCCUGAAAUACACUUUGAAUUCCUCACCCAUUAGAUGGGUUGAUUGUAAAGGUGUGAGUUCAGUUACGCACUUCUUCUCUUGUACCUGAUCUACAGCUUCUUCUGAGUCUUCAACAAACACCCAGAGGAAGAUGGGAAAGAGCUAUUGGUGUAGGAUAGGACCUGGGAUGCCUCUGUUCCCAAGGAAACUGGCUGAGCUGUUUGGCAUAGAGCCUUAUGUGCAGAAGCCCGGCCUUGGGAAUGGAGGUCUCGGCUCCCAGCCGGCUCAGGGGGCCUUGGCCCAGGAGCCCCGGCAGAGGCAGUGGAGCAGCGCUGCCCCCAGGGUCACUGCCAGGGAGGACAAGGUGAAGGCAGAGCAGGGCUCAACCGCACACAGAGGCCUCCCACUGUACCAGGCCAAAGAGACGGAUCAUCCCACCAGUCCUGGUCUUACAAGAGACAAAGACCUGAGAGAUGGCUUUGGAAAGGUAAGGGAUAAAGACAGGGAUGAGCAGACUUCCUUUGGGGUCCUUCAGGGUCCUUCAGAGCUGAGUCCCUCAGAGGCCAGGAAGUGAGAAACAGCUGCCAUUCCUGGCCAUGAGUGUUAAGCAAGAGCAAUUACCCCUCCUUGCUGCACAUGGUUUUUAUUCUGCUGCCAUGGCCUGUAGGAACUGAACUGCCUGCUCUCUGGUCAUGUGAGCUCUUCACCUGUCUUGGAGCACUCGUAUGACUUUGGUGCUUCAAGCAGGGCUUCCUGUCAUAGGUUGCAGUUGGAGCAGUGUAAGGUUGUGGCCCUAAAGUCUUCCACCUCCUUGUGUGUAAUUGCCAAGAUGAGGUUGGGAGACAUUCUUCUGAAACACUUGGAAUGAAUAUGGAGCUGCAUUAAAGACUGUGGCUCUCCAUGGAUCCUGUGCUCCUGAUGAGAUGUUGUGUCUGGUUUGGGUGUUUCUGCUUACAUCUGUGAUGUAUUUCCUUUGCAACUAGAUCCGUGCUGCGUUGUGCAAGUUGGCUCAGGAGAACUUAGAGUGGAAGGUUGAGGAGCUUUGUGAUGAAGAGAUGAAGAAAAGGACACAAAGGGAAGCAUUCAAAGGAAAGCAGCUGCCUCCACUGGCAGGUGACCCCAGGGAUGCAGCAGAAGGAAGUAAGUGGUGUCUACACUUGUGCUCCUUUUUGUGAGAACGUCUUCAGUACCUCUCACUUGUUCCUGUUGCUCUUUGUCCAUGACUCCAAAGUCAUCACCUUCAUGCCAUUUUGCAAUUACGUCCAAAAUCCCAGGGCGAUUCUUUUUUCCAAUAGAGACGCACUGUGUGAUGAAAGCAGUCCACUGUGCUCCAUGUGGCAUUGGUGGCAUGGUUGGUAGAGGGACCCUUUGCUUUGAAUAUCCACCCCAGCAUUGGUAGUCGGGGUACCAGGAGGAAUUGUACUUCUGUACCCAUUACCACUCUGGCGGCUUGCACUCCUUCAUAGGCUGCUAAAACUUGCAGUAUAGUUGGCUUCAGACCUUCUGUAGCUUUGACUCCAAAAUCCUAAUACUUGGCCUCAGUCUCACCGGCACCUUUUGCCAAAGGUUCCGGG
rnacentral:lncRNA from 1 species